UGGGGAAUAUUGCACAAUGGGCGGAAGCCUGAUGCAGCAACGCCGCGUGCGGGAUGACGGCCUUCGGGUUGUAAACCGCUUUCGCCUGUGACGAAGCGUGAGUGACGGUAAUGGGUAAAGAAGCACCGGCUAACUACGUGCCAGCAGCCGCGGUGAUACGUAGGGUGCGAGCGUUGUCCGGAUUUAUUGGGCGUAAAGGGCUCGUAGGUGGUUGAUCGCGUCGGAAGUGUAAUCUUGGGGCUUAACCCUGAGCGUGCUUUCGAUACGGGUUGACUUGAGGAAGGUAGGGGAGAAUGGAAUUCCUGGUGGAGCGGUGGAAUGCGCAGAUAUCAGGAGGAACACCAGUGGCGAAGGCGGUUCUCUGGGCCUUUCCUGACGCUGAGGAGCGAAAGCGUGGGGAGCGAACAGGCUUAGAUACCCUGGGUAGUCCACGCUGUAAACGGUGGGUACUAGGGUGUGGGGGUCCAUUUCCACGGGUUCCGUGCCGUAGCUAACGCUUUAAGUA
rnacentral:rRNA from 1 species